rnacentral:rRNA from 1 species
CCUACGGGAGGCAGCAGUCGAGAAUCAUUCACAAUGGGGGAAACCCUGAUGGUGCGACGCCGCGUGGGGGAAUGAAGGUCUUCGGAUUGUAAACCCCUGUCAUGUGGGAGCAAAUUAAAAAGAUAGUACCACAAGAGGAAGCGACGGCUAACUCUGUGCCAGCAGCCGCGGUAAUACAGAGGUCUCAAGCGUUGUUCGGAAUCACUGGGCGUAAAGCGUGCGUAGGCUGUUUCGUAAGUCGUGUGUGAAAGGCGCGGGCUAAACACGCAGACUGCACAUGAUACUGCGAGACUAGAGUAAGGGAGGGGGAACCGGAAUUCUCGGUGUAGGAGUGAAAUGCGUAGAUAUCGGGAGGAACACUCGUGGCGAAGGCGGGUUCCUGGACAUUAACUGACGCUGAGGCACGAAGGCCAGGGGAGCGAAAGGGAUUAGAUACCCGUGUAGUC